rnacentral:rRNA from 1 species
GGAGUGGAGAGUUUUGUACAAGGGGGAUAGUAUGUUGAGGGGAUUUCUGUAAUGUUUACAGCCAGAGAGGGGGAGAGAGAAGGAAAAAGACACAAAGGUUGGGAAUCUUCCGCAAUGGGCGAAAGCCUGACGGAGCAAUACCGCGUGAGGGAGGAAGGCUCUUGGGUUGUAAACCUCUUUUCUCAGGGAAGAACACAAUGACGGUACCUGAGGAAUCAGCAUCGGCUAACUCCGUGCCAGCAGCCGCGGUAAUACGGAGGAUGCAAGCGUUAUCCGGAAUGAUUGGGCGUAAAGCGUCCGCAGGUGGCUGUGUAAGUCUGCUGUCAAAGAGCAAAGCUCAACUUUGUAAAGGCAGUGGAAACUACACGGCUAGAGUGCGUUCGGGGCAGAGGGAAUUCCUGGUGUAGCGGUGAAAUGGGUAGAGAUCAGGAAGAACGCCGGUGGCGAAGGCGCUCUGCUAGGCCGCAACUGACACUGAGGGACGAAAGCUAGGGGAGCGAAUGGGAUUAGAUACCCCAGUAGUCCUAGCUGUAAACGAUGGAUACUAGGCGUGGCUUGUAUCGACCCGAGCCGUGCCGUAGCUAACGCGUUAAGUAUCCCGCCUGGGGAGUACGCACGCAAGUGUGAAACUCAAAGGAAUUGACGGGGGCCCGCACAAGCGGUGGAGUAUGUGGUUUAAUUUGAUGCAACGCGAAGAACCUUAUCCAAGGCUUGACAUGUCGCGAACUCUUCUGAAAGGAAGAGGUGCCUUCGGGGGCGCGAACACAGGUGGUGCAUGGCUGUCGUCAG